UGGGGAAUAUUGCACAAUGGGGGGAACCCUGAUGCAGCGACGCCGCGUGAGUGAAGAAGUAUUUCGGUAUGUAAAGCUCUAUCAGCAGGAAAGAUAAUGACGGUACCUGACUAAGAAGCUCCGGCUAAAUACGUGCCAGCAGCCGCGGUAAUACGUAUGGAGCAAGCGUUAUCCGGAUUUACUGGGUGUAAAGGGAGCGUAGGCGGCCAGGCAAGUCUGAUGUGAAAUCCCGGGGCCCAACCCCGGAGCUGCAUUGGAAACUGCAGGGCUGGAGUGCCGGAGGGGUAAGCGGAAUUCCUAGUGUAGCGGUGAAAUGCGUAGAUAUUAGGAGGAACACCGGUGGCGAAGGCGGCUUACUGGACGGCAACUGACGCUGAGGCUCGAAAGCGUGGGGAGCAAA
rnacentral:rRNA from 1 species